UUGAACGCUGGCGGCAGGCCUAACACAUGCAAGUCGAACGGUAACAGGAAGCAGCUUGCUGCUUUGCUGACGAGUGGCGGACGGGUGAGUAAUGUCUGGGAAACUGCCUGAUGGAGGGGGAUAACUACUGGAAACGGUAGCUAAUACCGCAUAACGUCGCAAGACCAAAGAGGGGGACCUUCGGGCCUCUUGCCAUCGGAUGUGCCCAGAUGGGAUUAGCUAGUAGGUGGGGUAACGGCUCACCUAGGCGACGAUCCCUAGCUGGUCUGAGAGGAUGACCAGCCACACUGGAACUGAGACACGGUCCAGACUCCUACGGGAGGCAGCAGUGGGGAAUAUUGCACAAUGGGCGCAAGCCUGAUGCAGCCAUGCCGCGUGUAUGAAGAAGGCCUUCGGGUUGUAAAGUACUUUCAGCGGGGAGGAAGGGAGUAAAGUUAAUACCUUUGCUCAUUGACGUUACCCGCAGAAGAAGCACCGGCUAACUCCGUGCCAGCAGCCGCGGUAAUACGUAGGGGGCUAGCGUUAUCCGGAUUUACUGGGCGUAAAGGGUGCGUAGGCGGUCUUUUAAGUCAGGAGUGAAAGGCUACGGCUCAACCGUAGUAAGCUCUUGAAACUGGAGGACUUGAGUGCAGGAGAGGAGAGUGGAAUUCCUAGUGUAGCGGUGAAAUGCGUAGAUAUUAGGAGGAACACCAGUAGCGAAGGCGGCUCUCUGGACUGUAACUGACGCUGAGGCACGAAAGCGUGGGGAGCAAACAGGAUUAGAUACCCUGGUAGUCCACGCCGUAAACGAUGUCGACUUGGAGGUUGUGCCCUUGAGGCGUGGCUUCCGGAGCUAACGCGUUAAGUCGACCGCCUGGGGAGUACGGCCGCAAGGUUAAAACUCAAAUGAAUUGACGGGGGCCCGCACAAGCGGUGGAGCAUGUGGUUUAAUUCGAUGCAACGCGAAGAACCUUACCUGGUCUUGACAUCCACGGAAGUUUUCAGAGAUGAGAAUGUGCCUUCGGGAGCCGUGAGACAGGUGCUGCAUGGCUGUCGUCAGCUCGUGUUGUGAAAUGUUGGGUUAAGUCCCGCAACGAGCGCAACCCUUAUCCUUUGUUGCCAGCGGUCCGGCCGGGAACUCAAAGGAGACUGCCAGUGAUAAACUGGAGGAAGGUGGGGAUGACGUCAAGUCAUCAUGGCCCUUACGACCAGGGCUACACACGUGCUACAAUGGCGCAUACAAAGAGAAGCGACCUCGCGAGAGCAAGCGGACCUCAUAAAGUGCGUCGUAGUCCGGAUUGGAGUCUGCAACUCGACUCCAUGAAGUCGGAAUCGCUAGUAAUCGUGGAUCAGAAUGCCACGGUGAAUACGUUCCCGGGCCUUGUACACACCGCCCGUCACACCAUGGGAGUGGGUUGCAAAAGAAGUAGGUAGCUUAACCUUCGGGAGGGCGCUUACCACUUUGUGAUUCAUGACUGGGGUG
rnacentral:rRNA from 1 species